GACGAACGCUGGCCGGCGUGCCUAAUACAUGCAAGUAGGACGCCCAGUUUAUACCGUAGCUUGCUACACCAUAGACUGUGAGUUGCGAACGGGUGAGUAACGCGUAGGUAACCUGCCUAUUAGAGGGGGAUAACUAUUGGAAACGAUAGCUAAUACCGCAUAACAGUAUGUAACACAUGUUAGAUGCUUGAAAGAUGCAAUUGCAUCGCUAGUAGAUGGACCUGCGUUGUAUUAGCUAGUAGGUAGGGUAAUGGCCUACCUAGGCGACGAUACAUAGCCGACCUGAGAGGGUGAUCGGCCACACUGGGACUGAGACACGGCCCAGACUCCUACGGGAGGCAGCAGUAGGGAAUCUUCGGCAAUGGGGGGAACCCUGACCGAGCAACGCCGCGUGAGUGAAGAAGGUUUUCGGAUCGUAAAGCUCUGUUGUUAAGGAAGAACGAGUGUGAGAAUGGAAAGUUCAUACUGUGACGGUACUUAACCAGAAAGGGA
rnacentral:rRNA from 1 species